rnacentral:rRNA from 1 species
UACGUAGGGGGCGGGCGUUGUCCGGAGUUACUGGGCGUAAAGCGCUUGUAGGCGGUCCACCAAGUUUGGGGUGACAGUUGCCGACUUAAUCGGCAAAGUGCCUCAAAGACUGGCGGACUUGAGGGCCACAGAGGGACAUGGAACUCCAGGUGUAGUGGUGAAAUGCGUAGAUAUCUGGAAGAGCACCAAAGGCGAAGGCAGUGUCCUGGGUGGUCGCUGACGCUGAGAGGCGAAAGCCAGGGGAGCGAACGGG